rnacentral:rRNA from 1 species
AGAUUGAACGCUGGCGGCAGGCCUAACACAUGCAAGUCGAGCGGUAGAGAGGUGCUUGCAUCUCUUGAGAGCGGCGGACGGGUGAGUAAUGCCUAGGAUCUGCCUAGUGGUGGGGGAUAACGUUCGGAAACGGACGCUAAUACCGCAUACGUCCUACGGGAGAAAGCGGGGGACCUUCGGGCCUCGCGCCAUUAGAUGAGCCGUAGGUCGGAUUAGCUAGUUGGUGAGGUAAUGGCUCACCAAGGCGACGAUCCGUAACUGGUCUGAGAGGAUGAUCAGUCACACUGGAACUGAGACACGGUCCAGACUCCGGUACGGAGCAGCAGGUGGGAAUAGUGGACAAGUGGGAC